UGUAAACAAACGGCCUCAAUUUCUUAUGUAUGUUGGACCUCUAAACUAUAAUGAAUUUGAGGCAUCGUCCUAUCCGUUUCUUUAUUAUCUAUGCAUACAACGAAAACUACAAAAUACUUUAGUCUUUAAUACUACUACUUCUACUCGUGUCUCGUUUAUGGUUUGUAGUAUUUGCUACUGCCGGCCAAUUCGCACAGUGUCAUACCCCUAGAAGACAUCUAUUAGUUAUGAAAACAAUUUCAGCUUUGACCAUAAUGGAAUAGUACAAUAUACCAGGUAUAUUUUCUUAGUCAUGAUACUAACUAGUAUGAACGUCGAACACUAUGAUGGCAUGGGGUAUCAGAGGUUCCUCAUCAUCCUCAACCACAAUAAUUAUAAGCUAAUAGCUAUAGACAUGACUUCUGUAUACGCCUUACACUAUCAUAGUAUACCUUGUUACACAAACUUGCAGUACGUGAUACUAGCAAGUUAAAAGUCUAUGAAAAACUAUUGCUUUAUUUGUGGAAAAGAUGAAGAGUUUGUUCUCAAAUUGUAUUGGUGUUUAUUUAGGAAAGCAUUGAGAUAUUAUUGCAUAUUACUUGCAUUUAUUUGUAUGCCAACUGCCGAGUUACAUGAACAAUCACUAAUUGUUUAAUAAUAUAAUAGUGAGCGAUGAACAAAUCAAUACCAGCCAUAUAUUUUAUUAAAAUUCAGUGUUUUUUUUUUUUUUUUGGUCAAAAUGUUUCAGCAUAUUAAAAACAUUCUCUUGCGAUGGUUCUCAAUAUACAAGUAGUUAACGGAUAUAUUAUGUCUGUUUCUUCAAAAAUAAAUUAAUUUACAUGUACCAACUGAAAUACAGGUUUGUCAUCAAAUCAAAACCCACCAGAUAUAUUAAUACAAUCGUUGUUUUUAAAGAAAUGUUUGAGAUCCCAUUGCAUAGUGUCUGGAUUUGUUUGUAUACCGGUUCAACAAUCACUAAAAGUUAAAUAAUACAAUAGCAAGCUUAUUAACAAAUAAAAAUACCCAUCAAAUAUUUUAUUACAAUUGGUGUUGUUUUGGAAAGCCUUGAGUGAGGAGGUCUUCUUGAAAAUAAGGAUAUCAGUUAUAUCAAUUGAUGUAGAUUGAGCAAAAUCUAAAAAGAUCGCAAGACAUUUCUUACUUAUCAUCUCACACAAUUGUGUUAAAUAUAUUUAAAAUAAAGCACCAACUCCACAUAUUAUUAUGUUCAGAAAUGUUGUAUCAUGUUAAAACAAUUAUGACCUGUGAACUACCUAUCUAAUUUGUCAUGCUAAAAAUCUUUUAGAAAAAUAUCUUUAAGGUAUAUAAAUAUAUUAUAUAAUGUUCAUUUAAUGGAUUUUUUUGAUUCAUAUACAAUUUAAAAUUGUAGUUAUUAAAAAACAAAACCAACAUGAUAAAAUAGAAAAUAUUUAAAAUAAAUAAUUUCUCAAAUAACAAUUAAUUUUAUAUGUAUAUAAAUUAAGUUGUAUGCUCUACAGAUUUUCAAUAAUCAGUUAAUAGGCAGCUUACUGUUCAAAAACUUGAGAUAAAAAAUAAACAGGAUCGCCUUGACAUCCUAAUGAUGUGAGAAAAAAUGUACAAAUAAUUAUCCAAUCAUAUAACAUCCAUCGAUACUAAUGACUAAUGAAUUCAAGAAUGCUUUAAAAUGUAUAAACAAGUACUUAAAUUAAAUGGAAAAGAGUUUAGUUGAAGAUAAUAUUUAUUAUGAAGAAUAAAAAAUAAGUGAAUAUCAAUUAAAGAACAAGCUCGUUUAAGAAGACAAAACUUAUCAAAAACGAUUCAAAAAAAUAUGCAUGCUUUGUUUAGUGUUUACUGAUAACUUCUUAACAAAGUUUUCUUACAUAGGCUUCAAAGGAAAGAACAUUUGUUCUACCCUUUAAAUUUACGUAAACAGUGUUAAUUGGUUAUAAUAAAAUCCGUUUUUUUUUUGCCAUUACUGUUUUCAAAAAAUGUUUUAAUUAUACAAUAUGUUAUAAUAUGUAAUUAAACAAUAAAAAUAUCAAUUUUAUAUAAUAAUAUGUAUGUAUAGAAAAUAUAGGAAGUACAUAAAUAAUUAAUUACAAUAAACAAAUUAAUAUUCCCCUAAGAAUUUUACAACUGAUUUUCACUGUCUUAUGUACAGUUUUAUAUAAUAUUCGAAUAUUUUUUAUUCA